GAGCUCUCCGCCCAGCGCUGGAAAAAGGUAAGUUUUAAGCCCUUUCCCCUUUCCAGAGCCGGGCGGGAGGGGGUCCCUGAGGGUGGGGGCACCCUCAGGGCACUAUAGUGCCAGGAAAACGAGUAUGUUUUCCUGGCACUAUAGUGGUCCUUUAACGUCAGCGCUGCACAGUGACCAGGAAGCAUCUCUAGUGGCCGUCUGAGUGACUGUCACAAGAGGUAUUCCUAGGCAGCUAUGUAAACACUGCCUUUUCUAUGAAAAGAAAGUGCUUACAUUAAAAUGCCUGCAAAGACAGGCUUUAAACACC